rnacentral:RNase_P_RNA from 1 species
GGAGUCGACCAGGUAAUCGCUGUCCUUCGCCGCCAUCGGAAGGUAGCGGGAGAUGGAGGAAAGUCCGGGCUCCAAAGGACAGGGUGCCAGGUAACGCCUGGGGGGCGCGAGCCUACGGAAAGUGCCGCAGAAAACAAACCGCCUCAGUAUGAGGUAAGGGUGAAAAGGUGCGGUAAGAGCGCACCGCGCAUCUGGUAACAGAUGUGGCAGGGUAAACCCCACUCGGAGCAAGACCAAAUAGGAAUCCAUACCGUGUGGUCCGCAUGAGGGUUCGGGUAGGUCGCUAUAGGUGCUUGGCGACAAGCAUCACAGAUGAAUGAUUACCCAAGACAGAACCCGGCUUAUGGUCGACUCCCUUU